UAAGAUAGGUGUUGGAGAUGUCCUGUGU
rnacentral:piRNA from 1 species